AUUGAACGCUGGCGGCAUGCUUUACACAUGCAAGUCGAACGGUAACAGGCCGCAAGGUGCUGACGAGUGGCGAACGGGUGAGUAAUGCAUCGGAACGUGCCCAGGCGUGGGGGAUAACGCAGCGAAAGCUGUGCUAAUACCGCAUACGAUCUAUGGAUGAAAGCGGGGGACCGUAAGGCCUCGCGCGAUUGGAGCGGCCGAUGUCAGAUUAGGUAGUUGGUGGGGUAAAGGCCCACCAAGCCAACGAUCUGUAGCUGGUCUGAGAGGACGACCAGCCACACUGGGACUGAGACACGGCCCAGACUCCUACGGGAGGCAGCAGUGGGAAUUUUGGACAAUGGGCGCAAGCCUGAUCCAGCAAUGCCGCGUGCAGGAAGAAGGCCUUCGGGUUGUAAACUGCUUUUGUACGGAACGAAACGGUCUGGGUUAAUACCCUGGGCUAAUGACGGUACCGUAAGAAUAAGCACCGGCUAACUACGUGCCAGCCGCCGCCGUAA
rnacentral:rRNA from 1 species